rnacentral:lncRNA from 14 species
CUUUAAGAUUUAAUCUUUGUAUACAAAGUAGGUAAGGAUCAGGCUUGGGAUUUCUAAAACAGAAGAAUCAAUAAAGCCGACAACAACAACAACAGCAUGGUAGAAAAAACAUGAGACAUCUUUAAGAUAAUGCUUCAGGAUUGCUUUAUGUGAGCAUAUAAAAGUGCUUGUAACUCAGAUCUCUGUAGCUGCCUCUGCUGACUUGCUCUUCUUGGUGACUGGGUUGGCUU